UGACAAAUUCAAGAGUUCAUGUCAACGCAGUUCCUCAUACUGUAGCUACUGCAAAAAACGACAAGAGACUAGAUCAUUUCCGGGAUUGGUUCAUUCUAAUCGCGAGCCCUACCAGGAAAGAAGCCUCAGCUGACAGCGGUGUUCGGGUGCCGCAUACAUUUCAGAUAGUAGACAGAUGUCAACUAAGAGUAACAACAGAUUUAAACGAGACGUGUUUUACUCUUUGCGACACUUGGGACGCACGCACACUGAACAGUAAAACGGUGAUAUGUGGUAGCAGGCAGCAGUAUGCCAUACGUGGACAGGCAGAACCGUGUGUGUGGCUUCCUGGACAUUGAGGAGAAGGAGGGCAGCAGUCGCUUCCAGAGACGCUACUUCAUACUGGACACACAGGGCAACACACUGCAGUGGUACAUGGACAACCCCCAGAACCUGCCUAGUGGAGCAAACGCAGUUGGGAUUCUGCAGCUGACGUACAUCUCCAAGGUGAGCGAGGCCACGGGGAAACAGAAGUCCAAGACUGAGUUCUGCUUUGUGAUCAAUGCAGUGUCUCGGCGUUAUUUCCUCCAUGCCAACGAUGCUGCUGACCUGAAAGACUGGGUCCUCGCUCUGAACAAAGCUACCAAGAUCACUGUCCCAAAAGCAGGGCCUCUCCAGCCCAGAUCAGAGGUUUCUACGGUAACCGGUGAGGCAGGGGGUAAGAGGCUGGCCUACAAGACUGAGAUCAUCGGGGGAGUGGUGGUGCACACACCCAUCUACCAGAAUGAGGGGGAGGAGAUGGAGGUAGGGGACAGGAGGGUCUCCUCUGUAGGCAGUAGACCAGGUGUACUGAGGUGUGGCUAUUGUGUCAAACAGGGUAACGUGAGGAAAAGCUGGAAGAGACGUUUCUUCACACUGGACCACAAUGCUGUCAGUUACUACAAGUGUGAGAUGGAUAAGGAGCCUCUGAGAGCUGUUCCUCUGAGAGACAUUCAGAAGGUCCAUGAGUGUCUGGUGAAAUCUGGGGACCUGCUGAUGAGAGAUAACCUGUUUGAGAUCAUCACCAGCUCCAGGGUCUUCUACGUCCAGACAGACACUCCAGAGGACAUGCAGGGCUGGAUCAGAGACAUUGAGUUGAAGAUACAGGACUUCAGAGGCCCUGCCAAGGUAAAGGGUUCUGUAUUUACGUUUGCCUCCUCUCUGUAUCGCCAUGGUAACUCCUCCCACCCACCCUCUGUGUUCCGUGGUCGCCAGGGAGAUGACAGGAGACCCCCACUAGUGAAGUCGUGUUCUGUGGCCCCGGGGUGGCAGCCCUGGACCCCCGUACCCCAAAGAGAGGCUCCCGCUCUGGGCACACUGGACAAGGACAGUCCCUUUAGCAAUCUGCCCUCCAGUCUUUCCUCUCGCUCCACCUCCUCCUCCACCUCCUCAUCUUCAUCCUCCCCCUCCACUCCCACUCUCAUCCCACAGGGGGUCCCAGCUCCAGCCCUAGCCAGUGGUGUGGGGGUCCCAGCCUGCCCUGGCCCCAUAGCUCCAGACCCCUCCAGCAGCCGGAGGAGACACCGCUCUCAGCCUCAGCCCCCCAAAGACCGCAGCUUCCCUUUCAGCCUGGACGAUGAUGGCAUCCGCACCACCGACGUCUAGAACCAACCACGUCUAGAAUCAACCACUUCUAGAAUCACCAAAACUCUGGAUCCAACAAUAUAUAGAACUACCAUCUAGAACCAAUGUGUAGACAAACAAUGACACUUGUUUGAGUGUUUUCUACUGUUGAAAGGCUGAACCUCCCUCCCCCCACCCCCUUCUCCUCUACUCUAAGAGUUUCACAGGCCUGCUGCUGAAGCUACGUCUGCUGUGGGUCUGUUUGCUGAAGUAGCCCUGGUGGGAGAGGGUAGUGAUGUAGACUGGGGUUCCUGGAUGCGUUCUCUCACUGAGGGGUGUGUCAGUAGUGGCUGUGGGCUUUUGGUAUAGAGGGUGACUCAGAGAGAGCAGUGUUGGGCAGACUGGGAGGGGUUAUCAGUAUUAGAGUGUCUGGUGGAAUGUGAAGGAUAUGUUAUAUUUUAUUGUACGAUUUCCUCUUUAAACUUGAAUUUAGUCCACCCAGGUACUGAGAUGAAGGAAGGUGGAUGCUGUGGUGGAGCCUGGUCUGUCUACCGAACACCCUCCACGAGUAUAAGUCAGCUGGUCUUUUGCUUGUAUUAACCAAGGCUACGUCCCAAUUGGCACCCACUUUGGGUCUUGGUCAAAGGUAGUACACUAUAUAAUGAAUAUGGUGCCACUGCCAAUUGGGACCGAACCCAAGGGUCCCAUUCAAUCAAUAACCUGGUCAUGGAACAUGUUAGUGUCUGUGGCUCUGCCUGUUGGUAGACAGUCCUGUUCCCUUGUUAGACUGCAUCCAAUUGCUACAUCAGCAGCACAUUUUGUAUAUACGCUUUUAGCGUAUUUCUGCACGUUCUUCCACAUACCGGAUUCUCUUGCUCAAAUGUAAAUUAUCCACUAUGGUGUUGUGUCAUGUCACAUGUUGUGUUUUCCCUUGCCUGUACCUCACCGACCCAGGUCCAGGUGUGCUUUUCCUUUGCCUGUACCUCACCGACCCAGGUCCAGGUGUGCUUUUCCCCUGCCUGUACCUCACCGACCCAGGUCCAGGUGUGCUUUUCCCUUUCCUGUACCUCACCGACCCAGGUCCAGGUGUGCUUUUCCCCUGCCUGUACCUCACCAACCCAGGUCCAGGUGUGCUUUUCCCCUGCCUGUACCUCACCGACCCAGGUCCAGGUGUGCUUUUCCCCUGCCUGUACCUCACCGACCCAGGUCCAGGUGUGCUUUUCCCCUGCCUGUACCUCACCGACCCAGGUCCAGGUGUGCUUUUCCCCUGCCUGCACCUCACCGACCCAGGUCCAGGUGUGCUUUUCCCCCUGCCUGUACCUCACCGACCCAUGUCCAGGUGUGCUUUUCCCCUGCCUGUACCUCACCGACCCAGGUCCAGGUGUGCUUUUCCCCUGCCUGUACCUCACCGACCCAGGUCCAGGUGUGCUUUUCCCCCUACCUGUACCUCACCGACCCAGGUCCAGGUGUGCUUUUCCCCUGCCUGUACCUCACCGACCCAGGUCCAGGUGUGCUUUUCCCCUGCCUGUACCUCACCGACCCAGGUCCAGGUGUGCUUUUCCCCUGCCUGCACCUCACCGACCCAGGUCCAGGUGUGCUUUUCCCCUGCCUGUACCUCACCGACCCAGGUCCAGGUGUGCUUUUCCCCUCCCUGUACCUCACCGACCCAGGUCCAGGUGUGCUUUUCCCCUGCCUGCACCUCACCGACCCAGGUCCAGGUGUGCUUUUCCCCUGCCUGCACCUCACCGACCCAGGUCCAGGUGUGCUUUUCCCCUACCUGUACCUCACCGACCCAGGUCCAGGUGUGCUUUUCCCCUGCCUGUACCUCACCGACCCAGGUCCAGGUGUGCUUUUCCCCUGCCUGUACCUCACCGACCCAGGUCCAGGUGUGCUUUUCCCCUGCCUGUACCUCACCGACCCAGGUCCAGGUGUGCUUUUCCCUUCUCUUUAAACUUAACCGGUCAUGUUUCUGAUUCUUUACAUAGACUCCUGUUAUAAAUCACAAACAUCAAUAUCUGCUUUGUGUGUGUCAGACAUGGGUUCAAAUACUAUUUAAUGUAUUUUAAUACAUUUUCAAUACAUUUGAAACAUGUAUUCAGAUACCCUUUAUUUGGAGAAAAAAAAACAAGUAGUUGAAAAUUGGAAUGUAUUUCGACAUACACUUGGAAAGUAUUUGAAAAUACUCAAAUACACUCCCAUACAUUUAACCCAGGUAUUUGAAAAUAGUAUUUGAAAUAAGUAUUUGAAUAUACUUUUAAAAUACAAUUUGGUCGACUAUUUGGUUUUUACAAAUAACUCAAAUAAAAGUACCUGUUUUGGGCUGUGUAUUUGAAAAUACUGAAAUACAUAGAAAAAGUAUUUAAAUAACAAAUGCUCAAAUACACAUGUAUUUGAACCCAGAGUGUGUGUGUCUAUCUGUGUGUGUUGGGUUCAUCAUGGUUGACUGGCUGGUCAAACAUUUUAGAAACAGGGUAAUGUUUGUUUUUAAGUUAAGGCAUCUUUGAUAUCUGUAUAUGUUCUUUUAGCAUUUUGCAGUACUGCCAUUCCGGAAAGAGAAUGGUUAAAUUCUCAUGUCUGCUAUUUCUAAUGCAAUUUCAUGUAUUUUGCUCUUCUGGUUACUGUUUUCUCUGAUUAAUUCCUGUGGUACAGUAUUUCAGAUGUAAUGGACUGCCUUCUACCUCGUACCUGGUGUCCACUCACCUACCUGAUCAUAAUGGUGUUGUUUUUUAACUUAGUUGAGAUGAAGUGACCCCAGACCGUCCACCCUGGCCGGCCCCGCCAGAGGCUGUGUUAAGUGAAGUCUUUCACACGUCCAGUGCUGAAACCUGUGACCCAACGCUAACCCAGACCACCCGCCUGGGGACAUGCCUCCUGAGCUCUGUACCAUGGUGUGUGGGACAAAGCUGUGGAGUGCUGGAACACUUGGAACCACUUCCUCCAUACAGACCUAGCGGUUAAGAGCAUUGGACCAGUUACUGGCGUAACCGAAAGGUCGCUGGUUCGAAUCCCAGAGCCGACUACUUGAAAAAUCGAUUGAUGUGCCCUUGAGCAAGCCACUUAACCCUAAUUUCUCCUUUAAGUCGCUCUGGAUAAGAGUGUCUGCUAAAUGACUAAAACUUUUUUUUUUAAAUCACUUGAUAGAGUAAAUGUAGAAGUAAGGAUGGGACAGUGUAGUCCAACCAUGGCCACAAAAAGGCAUGUAUUUUACCUCUGUCUAUGUCUCUCUCAGCUUCUUAGUAAUAUAAUGUUAGUUCUAACAUGGAGGAGAAGUUUGUUUGGUUACUCAGCUUCUAUACUCUCACUGUUGGAGAGUAGAAAACAUGCCUACUGGAGUGACAUGACAUAGGGCCUAUCACAUAGGCCUGACCUAACCUUCCUUCUAUUUAUCUACUGAGAUGAUGUUCUAGAAGUCUUAAGUAAAAGAGAAAUAUGACAAGUUCAAAACAAUCAAAUUCUGUUUGAGAUGAAUAUUUGUGAUAAAGUCAAUAAAUAAUUUGAAUUGA